rnacentral:sRNA from 1 species
GCUGGGUGUUGUCGCGGGCACCUGUAGUCCCAGCUACUUCGGAGGCUGAGGCAAGAUAAUCGCUUAAACCCAGGAGUUGGAAGUUGCUGUGAGCUGUGAUGCCACAGCACUCUACUAAGGGCGAUAAAGUGAGACUCUGUCUCUUAAAAAAAAAAAAAGAUUUCAGGGCUAAAGAGUAUUCUUUUUUUACCCCUCACUUAGUAAGUGCCAUGGUGUCAUAGCUCACAGCAACCUCAAACUCUUGGGCUCCAGGGAUUCUCUUGCUU